CAGUCGCCGCGGUAAGACAGAGGAUGCAAGCGUUAUCCGGAAUGAUUGGGCGUAAAGCGUCUGUAGGUGGCUUUUCAAGUCCGCCGUCAAAUCCCAGGGCUCAACCCUGGACAGGCGGUGGAAACUACCAAGCUGGAGUACGGUAGGGGCAGAGGGAAUUUCCGGUGGAGCGGUGAAAUGCGCUGAGAUCGGGAAGAACACCAACGGCGAAAGCACUCUGCUGGGCCGACACUGACACUGAGAGACGAAAGCUAGGGGAGCAAAUGGGAUUAGAUACCCCUGUAGUCCCUGUCUCUUAUAC
rnacentral:rRNA from 1 species